UACGAAGGUCCCAAGCGUUGUUCGGAAUCACUGGGCGUAAAGGGCGCGUAGGCGGCUUUUCAAGUCGGGGGUGAAAGCCUGUGGCUCAACCACAGAAUUGCCUUCGAUACUGUUAGGCUUGAGACCGGAAGAGGUGAGUGGAACUGCGAGUGUAGAGGUGAAAUUCGUAGAUAUUCGCAAGAACACCAGUGGCGAAGGCGGCUCACUGGUCCGGUUCUGACGCUGAGGCGCGAAAGCGUGGGGAGCAAACAGG
rnacentral:rRNA from 1 species